GAUGAACGCUGGCGGCGUGCCUAAUACAUGCAAGUCGGACGGAUGUAGCAAUACAUUAGUGGCGAACGGGUGAGUAACACGUAGGUGACCUGCCCUAAAGAGGGGAAUACCACUUCGAAAGGAGUGACAAAACCGCAUAAACUUAUAGAGAUUAGAAGGCUAUAAGGAAAAGAGCGAUCUACUUUAGGAGGGGCCUGCGGCCCAUCAGCUAGUUGGUAGAGGUAACGGCCUACCAAGGCGAAGACGGGUAGGGGACCUGAGAGGGUGAUCCCCCACAAUGGAACUGAAACACGGUCCAUACACCUGCGGGUGGCAGCAGUAGGGAAUAUUGCUUAAUGGGCGAAAGCCUGAAGCAGCAACGCCGCGUGGACGAAGAAGGCCUUCGGGUUGUAAAGCCCUUUCGUGCGGAAAGAACAGUCCUGUGGCGAAUACUCGCAGGAUUUGACGGUACCGCAGGAAGAAGCACCGGCUAACUCCGUG
rnacentral:rRNA from 1 species